AGGUACUCGAGUGGCGAACGGGUGAGUAACACGUGGGUGAUCUGCCCUGCACUGUGGGAUAAGCCUGGGAAACUGGGUCUAAUACCAUAUAGGACCGCAUCUUGGAUGGUGUGGUGGAAAGCUUUUGCGGUGUGGGAUGAGCCUGCGGCCUAUCAGCUUGUUGGUGGGGUAAUGGCCUACCAAGGCGGCGACGGGUAUCCGGCCUGAGAGGGUGUACGGACACAUUGGGACUGAGAUACGGCCCAGACUCCUACGGGAGGCAGCAGUGGGGAAUAUUGCACAAUGGGCGCAAGCCUGAUGCAGCGACGCCGCGUGGGGGAUGAAGGCCUUCGGGUUGUAAACUCCUUUCGCUAUCGACGAAGCCACUU
rnacentral:rRNA from 1 species